rnacentral:rRNA from 1 species
AUGGUGCGAUCUAUGAUGUCUCUUACCGAUUUACCGCUAUCAUUUUGGGGCUAUGCUUUAGAGACUGCCGCAUUCACUUUAAAUAGGGCUCCGUCGAAAUCCGUUGAGACGACACCGUAUGAAUUAUGGUUUGGGAAGAAGCCUAAGUUGUCGUUUCUAAAAGUUUGGGGAUGCAAUGCUUAUGUCAAGAAACUUCAAUCUGAAAAGCUCGAACCCAAGUCGGAAAAAUGCGUCUUCAUAGGAUACCCUAAAGAAACUAUUGGGUAUACCUUCUACCUCAGAUCUGAAGGCAAGAUCUUUGUUGCCAAGAGUGGAUCCUUUCUAGAGAAAGAGUUUCUCUCGAAAGAAGUAAGUGGGAGGAAAGUAGAGCUUGAUGAAGUACUGCCUCUUGAAGCAGAGAGUAGCGCAGCUCAGGAAAAUGUUCCUGUGGUGCCUGCACCAAUUAGAGAGGAAGUUAAUGAUGAUGAUCAAGAUAUUACUGAUCAAGCUCCUACUGAACUUCGAAGGUCCACAAGGACACGUUCCGCACCAGAGUGGUACGGCAACCCUGUCUUGGAAAUCAUGUUGUUAGACAACGGUGAACCUUCGAACUAUGAAGAAGCGAUGGCGGGCCCGGAUUCCGACAAAUGGCUGGAAGCCAUGAAAUUUGAGAUAGGAUCCAUGUAUGAAAACGAAGUAUGGACUUUGACUGACUUGCCC